GACGAACGCUGGCGGCGUGCUUAACACAUGCAAGUCGAACGGAAAGGCCUUUUCGGAGGUACUCGAGUGGCGAACGGGUGAGUAACACGUGGGUGAUCUGCCCUGCACUCUGGGAUAAGCCUGGGAAACUGGGUCUAAUACCGGAUAGGACCGCACUUUAGUGUGUGUAGUGGAAAGUUUUUUCGGUGUAGGAUGAGCCCGCGGCCUAUCAGCUUGUUGGUGGGGUAAUGGCCUACCAAGGCGGCGACGGGUAGCCGGACUGAGAGGUUGGUCGGCCACAUUGGGACUGAGAUACGGCCCAGACUCCUACGGGAGGCAGCAGUGGGGAAUAUUGCACAAUGGGCGCAAGCCUGAUGCAGCGACGCCGCGUGGGGGAUGACGGCCUUCGGGUUGUAAACUCCUUUCGCCAGGGACGAAGCGUUUUGUGACGGUACCUGGAGAAGAAGCACCGGCUAACUACGUG
rnacentral:rRNA from 1 species